rnacentral:ncRNA from 1 species
GAUUCUGGAGAGUGAUCAUUAUGUUGGUAGUGAUCCACCGAAGGGGCUCAAGCUCUCAGGUCAACGGACAGAGGGGC